rnacentral:rRNA from 1 species
AUUGAACGCUGGCGGCAUGCCUUACACAUGCAAGUCGAACGGUAACAGGUCUUCGGAUGCUGACGAGUGGCGAACGGGUGAGUAAUACAUCGGAACGUGCCCAGACGUGGGGGAUAACGAGGCGAAAGCUUUGCUAAUACCGCAUACGAUCUAAGGAUGAAAGCAGGGGACCGCAAGGCCUUGCGCGUUUGGAGCGGCCGAUGGCAGAUUAGGUAGUUGGUGGGAUAAAAGCUUACCAAGCCGACGAUCUGUAGCUGGUCUGAGAGGACGACCAGCCACACUGGGACUGAGACACGGCCCAGACUCCUACGGGAGGCAGCAGUGGGGAAUUUUGGACGAUGGGCGAAAGCCUGAUCCAGCAAUGCCGCGUGCAGGAUGAAGGCCUUCGGGUUGUAAACUGCUUUUGUACGGAACGAAAAGGCUCUGGCUAAUACCUGGGGCACAUGACGGUACCGGAAGAAUAAGCACCGGCUAACUACGUG